UACAGAGGUCUCAAGCGUUGUUCGGAUUCAUUGGGCGUAAAGGGUGCGUAGGUGGCGCGCUAAGUCAGGUGUGAAAUUUCGGAGCUUAACUCCGAAACUGCAUUUGAUACUGGCGUUCUUGAGGACUGGAGAGGAGACUGGAAUUCAUGGUGUAGCAGUGAAAUGCGUAGAGAUCAUGAGGAAGACCAGUGGCGAAGGCGGGUCUCUGGACAGUUCCUGACACUGAGGCACGAAGGCCAGGGGAGCAAACGGG
rnacentral:rRNA from 1 species